rnacentral:lncRNA from 1 species
CAGGAAACACCCUGGCGCGCAGAGCCACCGCAAAGUGGCCCGCUCAGGCCCGCCCGGGGCUCUGGGAAGGGCUGGGGAGCCCCUGCAGAAUGCCGAAAGCGAAACUACAGCAGAAGCCACGAGAGGCUGGCAGACACUCUAACCCUUCCUCCCCCCGGAAAAGGCUGAAUCUCCUCACUCUAACUGGUAGGAAGGGGAAUUUCGUGCUCCUCUCUCCACAGCGUGCUCCUCCACACCGCCCUGCCCAUUGCUUGCUGAUGUCCCUGCUGUGUGGAUCCUGGCAGGUCCCAACCCUUCUCUGAACUUCAGUUUCCUCAUCUCAAGAAUAAUGACCACUACAGUAACAGCAGGUGUGCGGCCGGGACCGCCAGGACCGCACCCAUCCUCAAAAGGCGCUGGCGAGGCUUUAAAAGUUUACAGUUACGGUGGCUCAAGCCUGUCAUCCCAACACUUUGGAAGGCUGAGGCUGGAAGAUCGCUUGAGCCCAGGAAGGAGUUUGAGACAAGCCUGGGCAACACGGUGAGACCCCUGUCUCUGAAAAAAGGAAAUUAGUUGGGCAUGGUGGCACUUGUCUGUGGUCCCAGCUACACAGGAGGCUGAGGCAGGAGGAUCGUUUGAGCCGGGGAGGUUGAGGCUGCAGUGAGCCAUGUUCAUGCCCCUGCACUGCAGCCUGGGUGACAGAGUGAGAUCUUGGUGCCAAGAAAAAAAAAAGUUUACAGUCCAACCCCAUUGUGAGUGAAGCCCCUGCACGCCAGAACUUUAAGACCAAAAUAUGAUACCUCCUCACAGAGGCUUUCCCUGGUGACCCUCUCCCAUGCUGUCUCCACUGGCACCUUGCAGUUCUAUUUCUGCAGAGCACACAGCUCCAUCUGAAGGCAUCUGUCUGUAUCUCCUCAUUCACUGUGUGCCGCCUCUGCAGAAUGCCAGCUCCCUGAGGGAAGGGGUGGAUCCCUGGGGCUUAGACUGGUGCCUGG